rnacentral:rRNA from 1 species
UACGUAGGGAGCAAGCGUUGUCCGGAAUCAUUGGGCGUAAAGAGCGUGUAGGCGGCUCGAUAAGUCUGCUGUGAAAGUCCAGGGCUCAACCCUGGAAGGCCGGUGGAAACUGUCGGGCUAGAGUCCGGAAGAGGCGAGUGGAAUUCCCGGUGUAGUGGUGAAAUGCGUAGAGAUCGGGAGGAACACCAGUGGCGAAGGCGGCUCGCUGGGCCGGCCCUGACGCUGAGACGCGAAGGCGUGGGGAGCGAACGGG